UACAGGGGGUGCAAACGUUGCUCGGAAUCAUUGGGCGUAAAGCGCGCGUAGGCGGGUUGGUAAGUCCGCUGUGAAAGCCCGGAGCUUAACUCCGGAGGGUCGGUGGAUACUGCCAGUCUUGAAGGUGCUAGGGGGAGAUGGAAUUACCGGUGUAGCGGUGAAAUGCGUAGAUAUCGGUAGGAACACCAGUGGCGAAGGCGGCUCACUGGCCCGAUACUGACGCUGAGGCACGAAAGCGUGGGGAGCAAACAGG
rnacentral:rRNA from 1 species